rnacentral:rRNA from 1 species
GUGGGGAAUCUUAGACAAUGGGCGCAAGCCUGAUCUAGCCAUGCCGCGUGAGCGAUGAAGGCCUUAGGGUUGUAAAGCUCUUUCGCUGGGGAAGAUAAUGACUGUACCCAGUAAAGAAGCCCCGGCUAACUCCGUGCCAGCAGCCGCGGUAAUACGGAGGGGGCUAGCGUUGUUCGGAAUUACUGGGCGUAAAGCGCGCGUAGGCGGAUUGGAAAGUUGGGGGUGAAAUCCCGGGGCGCAACCUCAGAACUGCCUUCAAAACUCCCAGUCUUGAGUUCGAGAGAGGUGAGUGGAAUUCCGAGUGUAGAGGUGAAAUUCGUAGAUAUUCGGAGGAACACCAGUGGCGAAGGCGGCUCACUGGCUCGAUACUGACGCUGAGGUGCGAAAGCGUGGGGAGCAAACAGGAUUAGAUACCCCAGUAGUCC